UACAGAGGUCCCAAGCGUUGUUCGGAUUCAUUGGGCGUAAAGGGUGCGUAGGUGGUGCCGUAAGUUGGGUGUGAAAUCUCGGGGCUUAACCCCGAAACUGCAUUCAAUACUGCGGCGCUCGAGUACUGGAGAGGAGACUGGAAUUCACGGUGUAGCAGUGAAAUGCGUAGAUAUCGUGAGGAAGGCCAGUGGCGAAGGCGGGUCUCUGGACAGUUACUGACACUGAGGCACGAAGGCCAGGGGAGCAAACGGG
rnacentral:rRNA from 1 species